GUGUCGGUGCAGUUUCUGAACGACACGUCUGCGCUGGUGGCGCUCAGCAACCGCAAGAAAGCCAAGGACGUGAUGAAAGCACUCGCCAAGCACAGUCGGAUCAAACUCAUACCGUACGUACGGUACAAGAUGGCGGCCAAGAUUACGGAGGACCAGCAACGUUUGCAGUUAACGGCGAGGAAGAUGUUAGCCAU
rnacentral:lncRNA from 1 species